CCUACGGGAGGCAGCAGUGGGGAAUAUUGCACAAUGGGGGAAACCCUGAUGCAGCGACGCCGCGUGAGUGAAGAAGUAUCUCGGUACGUAAAGCUCUAUCAGCCGGGAAGAAAAUGACGGUACCUGACUAAGAAGCCCCGGCUAACUACGUGCCAGCAGCCGCGGUAAUACGUAGGGGGCAAGCGUUAUCCGGAUUUACUGGGUGUAAAGGGAGCGUAGACGGCAGCACAAGUCUGGAGUGAAAUACCGGGGCUUAACCACGGAACUGCUUUGGAAACUGGGCGGCUGGAGUGCAGGAGGGGUAAGCGGAAUUCCUAGUGUAGCGGUGAAAUGCGUAGAUAUGAGGAGGAACACCGGUGGCGAAGGCGGCUUACUGGACUGUAACUGACGUUGAGGCUCGAAAGCGUGGGGAGCAAACAGGAUUAGAGACCCCGGUAGUC
rnacentral:rRNA from 1 species